rnacentral:rRNA from 1 species
UACGUAGGCAGCGAGCGUUGUUCGGAGUUACUGGGCGUAAAGGGUGUGUAGGCGGUUCUCUAAGUUUGGUGUGAAAUCUCCCGGCUCAACCGGGAGGUGCGCCGAAAACUGGAGGGCUAGAGUGCGGGAAGGGAGAGUAGAAUUCCUGGGUGUAGCGGUGAAAUGCGUAGAUAUCAGGAGGAAUACCGGUGGUGGCAGACGGCUCUCUGGACCGCGACUGACGCUGAGACACGAAAGCGUGGGGUAGCAAACAGG